CCCCUUUUUCCUCUCCCAUUUUUCCUUUUCUCCCUUCUCCCUUUUCCUUUUCCUUUUAUUUCCCCCCCUAUUUCCUUUUCCUCUUCCCCUCUUUUUCCCUUAUUAUUUCCCCCUUUUUCCCUUUUCCUGUUUCCCCUUUUCCCUUUAAAACCCCAUAAAACCCAACAAAUCCCAUUAAAACACCAUAAAUCCGAUUAAAACCCCAUAAAACCCCAGAAACCCCCAUUAAACCCCCAUAAACCCCAUUAAAACGCCAUUAACCCCCAUUAAACUCCAUUAACCCCCAUUAAACCCCAUAAAACCCCAUUAACCCCAUAAUAACCUCAUGAACCCCAUAAAUCCCAUUAAAACCCCAUAAACCCCAUUAAAACCCCAUAACCCCCCAUUAAAGCCCAUAAACCCCAUUAACCCCAUUAAAACCCCAUAAACCCCAUUAGAACCCUAUUAACCACCAUAAACCCCAUUAAAACCCCAUUAAACCCCAUUAAACUCCAUAAACCCCAUUAAAACUCCAUUAAAACCCAUUAACCCCCAUUAAACCCUAUAAGACCCCAUUAAACCCCAUUAACCCCCAUUAAAACCCCAUUAACCCCCAAUAACUCCCAUUAAAACCCCACAAAACCCCAUAAACCCCUAUUAAAACCCUUAAACCCCAUAAAACCCCAUAAACUGCCAUUAAACCAUAUAAAACCCCAUAAAACCCCAUAAACCCCCAUUAAAACAUCAUUAACCCCCAUUAAAACCCCAUUAAAACCCCAUAAACCCCUAUUAACUCCCAUUAAAACCCCAUAAAUCUAAUUAAAACCCUAUAAGACCCCAUUAACCCCCAUUAAAACCCUAUAGGACACCAUUAAACCCCAUUAAAACCCCAUUAACCGCCAUUAAAACCCUAUAAGACCCCAUUAAACCCCAUUAAAACCCCAUUAACCCCCAUUAAAACCCUAUAAGACCCCAUUAACCCCCAUUAAACCCCAUAAGACCCCAUUAAAACCCCAUUAACCCCCAUUAAAACCCUGUAAGACCCCAUAAAACCCCAUUAAACUCUAUAAGACCCCAUUAACCCCCAUUAAACCCCUUUAACCCCCAUUAAAAUCCCAUAAACCCCCAUUAAAACCCUGUAAGACCCCAUUAACCCCCAUUAAAACCCCAUAAAACCCCAUUAACCGCCAUUAAAACCCUAUAAGACCCCAUUAAACCCCAUUAAAACCCCAUUAACCCCCAUUAAAACCCUUUAAGACCCCAUUAACCCCCAUUAAACCCCAUAACACCCCAUUAAAACCCCAUUAACCCCCAUUAAAACCCUAUAAGACCCCAUUAACCCCCAUUAAACCCUAUAAGACCCCAUUAACCCCCAUUAAAACCCCAUUAACCCCCAUUAAAAUCCCAUAAACCCCUAUUAAAACCCUAUAAGACCCCAUUAACCCCCAUUAAACCCUAUAAGACUCCAUUAAACCCCAUUAAAACCCCAUAAACCCCCAUUAAAACCCUAUAAGACCCCAUUAAACCCCCAUAAAACCCCACAAUCCCCCAUUAAAACCCUAUAAGACCCCAUUAACCGCCAUUAAAACCCUAUAAGACCCCAUUAAACCCCAUUAAAACCCCAUUAAACCUCAUAAACCCCAUUAACCCCCAUUAAACCCUGUAAGACCCCAUUAAAACCACAUUAACCCCCAUAAAACCCCAUAAAACCCCAUUAAAACCCUAUAAGACCCCAUUAACCCCCAUUAAACCCUAUAAGACCCCAUAAACCCCAUUAACCCCCAUAAAACCCCAUAAUCCCCCAUUAAAACCCUAUAAGACCUCAUUAAACCCCAUUAAAACCCCAUUAACCCCCAUUAAACCCUAUAAGACUCCAUUAAACCCCAUUAAAACCCCAUUAACCCCCAUUAAAACCCUAUAAGACCCCAUUAACCCCCAUUACACCCCAUAAAACCCCAUUAAAACCCCAUUAACCCCCAUUAAAACCCUAUAAGACCCCAUAAACCCCAUUAACCCCCAUUAAAGCCCCAUUAACCCCCAUUAAAACCCUUUAAGACCCCAUUAACCCCCAUUACACCCCAUAAAACCCCAUUAAAACCCCAUUAACCCCCAUUAAAACCCUAUAAGACCCCAUUAACCCCCGUUAAACCCUAUAAGACCCCAUUAACCCCCAUUAAAACCCCAUUAACCCCCAUUAAAAUCCCAUAAACCCCUAUUAAAACCCUAUAAGACCCCAUUAACCCCCAUUAAACCCUAUAAGACCCCAUUAACCCCCAUUAAACCCUAUAAGACCCCAUUAACCCCCAUUAACCCCCAUAAAACCCCAUAAUCCCCCAUUAAAACCCUAUAAGACCUCAUUAAACCCCAUUAAAACCCCAUUAACCCCCAUUAAACCCUAUAAGACUCCAUUAAACCCCAUUAAAACCCCAUUAACCCCCAUUAAAACCCUAUAAGACCCCAUUAACCCCCAUUAAACCCCCAUAAAUCCCCAUUAAAACCCUAUAAGACCCCAUAAACCCCAUUAACCCCCAUUAAAACCCCAUUAACCCCCAUUAAAACCCUAUAAGACCCCAUUAACCCCCAUUAAACCCUAUAGGACCCCAUUAAACCCCAUUAACCCCCAUUAAAACCCCAUAAACCCCCAUUAAAACCCUAUAAGACCCCAUUAACCCCCAUUAAACCCUAUAAGACCCCAUUAACCCCCAUUAAAACCCCAUUAACCCCCAUUAAAACCCAAUAAGACCCCAUUAACCCCCAUUAAACCCUAUAAGACCUCAUUAAAUCCCAUUAAAACCCCAUAAACCCCCAUUAAACCCUAUAAGACCCCAUUAACCCCAUUAAACCCCAUUAACCCCCAUUAAAACCCCAUUAACCCCAUUAAGACCCCAUAAACCCCAUUAAGACCCUAUAAGACCCCAUUAACCCCCAUUAAACCCCAUUGGCCCCCAUUGAAACCCAUUCAACACCGCCCCCUCAUUAACCAUUCAUAUAUGCUAAUGAGGGGGGCUCUCGACCAAUGGGAAGCCGACGCCGGGAGCCGCGCUCGCUAAUUAAGGCGGCCUUCGUUACCGCUGCGCCGAGCUCAUUAAGCAGCCUCAUUAAGCCCCGUUAAUUAGUGCUCAGGAACGAGCUUUCGUGAUCCUCCUAUGCAAAUGUAUGCAAAUGAGCCCAGCUUUCGACCAAUGAGAAGCCUCCAUGGUAACGACCCGCAGCUCGUCAAAGCCGCUCAUUAACGAAGCCUUCAUCCGCUAAUUAACAAGAUCUUCAUUAGCGCUGAUCGGAUCCUCAUUAGCAGCUCUAAUUAACGACGCUUCUUGAUCCUCGUAUGCUAAUUUAUGCAAAUGAGCCCAGCUUUCAACCAAUCCGUGGCCUCCAUGGUAACGAUCCGCAGCUCGUUAAGGUCGCUAAUUAACGAAGUCUUCGUUAGCGCUGAUUGGAUCCUCAUUAGCAGCGCCAAUUAACGUCCUUUCUUGAUCCUCGUAUGCUAAUUUAUGCAAAUGAGCCCAGCUUUCAACCACUGAAAAGCCUCGAAGGUAACGAUGGAUUGCUCAUUAAGGUUCCUAAUUAACAAACUCUUCGUUAGCGCUGAUCCAAUCUUCAUUAGCAGCUCUAAUUAACAUCCUUUCUUGAUCCCCGUAUGCUAAUUCAUGCAAAUGAGCUCAGCUUUCAACCAAUGCGAGGCCUCCAUGAUAGCAAUCCACAGCUCGUCAAGGCCGCUAAUUAACAAGGCUGCUAAUUAACGAAGUCUCCAUCAUCGUCAAUCCGAACCUCAUUAGUGGCCUUAAUUAGCGACCCUUCUUGAUCCUCGUAUGCUAAUUUAUGCAAAUGAGCCCAGCAUUCAAUCACUGAAGAGCCUCAAUGGUAACAAUGGACAACUCGUUAAGGUCGCUAAUUAACGAAGUCUUCGUUAGUGCUGAUCCCGUCCUCAUUAGCAAUGCUAAUUAGCGAGCAUUCUCGAUCCUCGUAUGCACUCUCGAUCCUCAUAUGCUAAUGUAUGCAAAUGAGCCCAGCCUUCAACCAACACGAAGCCUCAAUAGUAACGAUCCGCAGCUCGUGAAGGCCGCUAAUUAACGACUUCUUCCCUAUGGCCGAUCCCAUCCUCAUUAGCAUAUACUAAUUAACACCCCAAUCCCACCCUCGUAUGCUAAUAUAUGCAAAUGAGUCCCACCCCCAACCACCUUCCCCCUCAUGAACCGCCCCCACAAAGUGCUCAUUCCAUGCCUCGUUAAGCCCCCAUGCUAAUUAACCGUAACGACCCUCCCCUCAUUAACCCCCCCACUAAUUAAUGAACCCCUUCAUCAACCCCCACCCUAAUUAACACCCCCUAAUUAGCCCCCCCUAAUUACUAAUUAACCUAAUUAACCCCCUCCACGCGCUCCCACCCCUCCCCACCCCUCAAUCCCUCUCCCCGCCAUUCAUUAACCCCGUGACCCCCUAAUUAACGAAGCAACCGACCAGUUAAUUAACGAAAACCCUUCAUCAACCCCCACCCUAAUUAACACCCCCUAAUUAACACACCCUAAUCACUAAUUAACCUAAUUAACCCCCCUCCACGCG
ensembl:lncRNA